AGACUCCACCGUCUCAUCCAUUAAAACAAUAACAUCAUUUUUCACAAUCUGGAAAUUCUUGUCUUCUCUCCCUUUCUUCUUUGUCCUCUGACAUAUUUGGGAGCGACAAGGUAGAGGGCUAGGGAGGGGUGACGUGGUAGGGUGGAGGUAGAGGGUUAGGGAGGGGUGACGUGGUAGGGCGGAGGUAGAGGGUUAGGGAGGGGUGACGUGGUAGGGUGGAGGUAGAGGGCUAGAGGGAGGGAGGGAGGGGUGACGUGGUAGGGCGGAGGUAGAGGGUUAGGGAGGGGUGACGUGGUAGGGCGGAGGUAGAGGGCUAGAGGGAGGGGUGACGUGGUAGGGUGGAGGUAGAGGGUUAGGGAGGGGUGACGUGGUAGGGCGGAGGUAGAGGGCUAGAGGGAAGGGUGACGUGGUAGGGACGGAGGUAGAGGGCUAGAGGGAGGGGUGACGUGGUAGGGACGGAGGUAGAGGGCUAGAGGGAGGGGUGACGUGGUAGGGACGGAGGUAGAGGGCUAGAGGGAGGGGUGAC
ensembl:lncRNA